ACAAUGAAAGAACGAAAAAGUGAAAAGGGGCAGGAAAAAGGAAAAGAUGGAGUGUGUCUUCUUUUGUUGUCGCCUGCAUUUUAG
rnacentral:ribozyme from 11 species